rnacentral:tRNA from 1 species
GCAUUGGUAGCUCAGAGACAGAGCGCCGGUCUUGUAAACCGGAUGCCGGAGGUUAAAUCCCUCCCCAUUGCUU